rnacentral:tRNA from 1 species
GGGCGAUUAGCUCAGUUGGCUAGAGCACAUGCUUUACACGCAUGGGGUCACAGGUUCAAAUCCUGUAUCGCCCA